rnacentral:lncRNA from 1 species
CAGCCUGCUGUCUGCACUUCAUUUUCAUAACAGCUCAGUGGAAUGUGCUCAUGCCUUUGUUUGUCCCUCUUCAGAGAAAGGGAAAUUGCUACACAAAGACAAAAAUCCCCAGGAAGAAAUAAGCAGCAUCCCUCUCGAUGACCCCUGUGCCUAGAAUAUAGCAGACUCGUAAACACUUAUGAAAGGAAACUCAGUGUGACUUUUAUGAUAAGAUACCAUGAUCAGAAACAAUUUACAGAAAGAAGAGUCUUGGGUUCCAGAGAGAGUCCAUGAUGUCUGAGAGAGGCUUGGCAACAUGGGCCCAGAAAAGGAAGCUGAGAGAUUACAUCUUCAACUGCAAGCAUGGUACAGAGAGCAAACUGGAAGUGCAUUGAGGCUGUGAACUCUCGGAGACCUCCUAAAACGAUUUCCAUCCUCCAGCAAGGCCAUAAAUACCACAUCCCUCAUCAUGUCGUCAAAUGGGAAUCAAGUGCUUCAAUACAAAAGCCUAUGGAGGACAUUCAUAUUUAAACCACUGUAUUCAACAUGCCCAGAGCCUUCUUUAUUAGCUGCUUUCUAGAACUGCCACACUAUUGUUCACACACACACACACACACACACACACACACACACACACACACACCACAAUGUGUCUAUAUAUAUACAUGAAAGAGAAAACACUGUAAGACGGUUCUGGGGAUGGUGACACCUUCCUUUAAUUCCAGCACUUGGGAGGUAGAGGCAGGCAGCUCUCUGAGUUCAAGACUAUCCUGGUCUAUAUCCAGGACACCCAGGACUAUACAAAAAAAAAAAAAAAAAGAGGGAGUAGGGAGAGGUGAGGAGAGAACACAUUUAAAAGCCUUGAUUAAACAAUUUAGUUUCCUAAGUACAGUUUUCUAGUUUUAAUUAAUAUACAAAAAACAGACUAUCAAAAGUGGGUACAUUUAUAUCUGAUUUUCCAUCAGCACCAUAUAAAUGUUUUCAUCAUGUAUAGCAGGACUGCUUAUUUGAUACCCAAGUAGACACAGCUAAUGAGUGUAGAUAGAUAGAUAGAUAGAUAGAUAGAUAGAUAGAUAGGCAGAUAGAUAGAUAGAUAGAUAGAUAGAUAGAUAGAUAGAUAGAUAGAUAGAUAGAUAGGCAGGCAGGCAGGCAGGCAGGCAGGCAGGCAGGCAGGCAGGCAGGCAGAUAGAUAGAUAGAGAUAGGCAGAUAGAUAGGCAGAUAGAUAGAUAGAUAGAUAGAUAGAUAGAUAGAUAGAUAGAUAGAUAGGCAGAUAGAUAGAUAGAUAGAUAGAUAGAUAGAUAGAUAGAUAGAUAGAUAGAUAGAUAGGCAGGCAGGCAGGCAGGCAGGCAGGCAGGCAGGCAGAUAGAUAGAUAGAGAUAGGCAGAUAGAUAGGCAGAUAGAUAGAUAGAUAGAUAGAUAGAUAGAUAGAUAGAUAGAUAGAUAGAAAGAUAAUAGAUAGAUAGAUAGAUAGAUAGAUAGAUAGAUAGAUAGAUAGAUAGAUAGAUGUUUUUAGGACAUGCUGGUUUCUCUGAUGUAAGCUGUUUAUGAAUUUUUUUAAAAAAAAAAGAAUCUCAAUGCCUUCUUUUAAGGAACUUAUAUUCUCUCAGGCAUGAUAGGUUAAUGAAAUACAAUAGUCACAUCAGUAACAAUUAUUAGUGUACAACCAAUGACCUGCUCUUUGUGAAGGCUCUGAAGAAACAGAAUAUCAAGGCUUCCCAGAGAAGGAGAGCAACAUAGCUGAUGGUGGAGCAUGAGCAGGAGACACCACUCACUGCUAGGCAAAUUGCUAUCAAACAGAAGGAUGGUAUGCCCAAUGGCCAACAGCGAGACUCACCCAGUGAGCUACAGAAUCCAUGGCUGUGAUGUGCACUAGGGUAAUUAGGGGUCCAUAGAAGAGAGACAAACUACAGGACAUAUGGACUUGAGAAAUGACACUUCUUUAUGAAUGUUGUUGAAAGCCAUUAAGGAAGAAAUCAGAGUGUGACAUAAACAGAUUCAUGUCUUGGUUAAUAACUCAGUGUUGCUCAUUGAGAAAAUACUGGUGCCACAAUCAGAGACUAUCCGACUUUGGCAUCCAAAGUAAAUCUCCCCUGCAUGUGCUCAGGCAAUACCCACACCUUCCUACUUUCGUUAUAGGUAACAAACUGACACAGACUGGGUUCAAGAAGAUGAGCUAUGGGGCUGGGGUAAUAAUUCAAGCAUGUGAUGUGGUCCUUAGCAAGGGUGGCGUGGUUCUAGGAGCUUGUCAUUUCCACUGAGAAUUAAAGUUCUGUUUAGUUUCCUGCUGAU